CCUACGGUGGGCUGCAGUGGGGAAUAUUGGGCAAUGGGCGCAAGCCUGACCCAGCAACGCCGCGUGAAGGAAGAAGGCCCUCGGGUUGUAAACUUCUUUUAACAGGGACGAAGAAAGUGACGGUACCUGUUGAAUAAGCCACGGCUAACUACGUGCCAGCAGCCGCGGUAAUACGGAGGUGGCAAGCGUUAUCCGGAUUUACUGGGUGUAAAGGGCGUGUAGGCGGGAGAGCAAGUCAGACGUGAAAUUCCAGGGCUCAACGUGGGAACUGGCUUGGAAACUGGCAAACUGGAGUGUGUGAGAGGAUAGUGGAAUUCCAGGUGUAGGAGUGCAAUCCGUAGAUAUCUGGAGGAACAUCAGUUGCGAAGGCGACUAUCUGGCACAUAACUGACGCUGAGGAGCGAAAGCGUGGGUAGCAAACAGGAUUAGAUACCCCUGUAGGUC
rnacentral:rRNA from 1 species